AUUGAACGCUGGCGGCAGGCUUAACACAUGCAAGUCGAGCGGAGCGGCGGACGGGUGCGUAAUGCUUAGGACUGUGCAUAUUAGUGGGGGAGAACAUCUAGGAAGGGAUGCUAAUACCGAUUCCUAAUAGAUGAGCCUAAGUCGUAUUAGCUAGUUGGUGGGGUAAAGGCCUACCAAGGCGACGAUCUGUAGCGGGUCUGAGAGGGUGAUCCGCCACACUUGGACUGAGACACGGCCCAGACUCCUACGGGAGGCAGCAGUAGGGAAUAUUCGGCAAUGGGGGGAACCCUGAGCGAGCAAUGCCGCGUGAGUGAAGAAGGCUUUAGGGUUGUAAAGCUCUUUUAGUGAGGAGGCGUUACUCGCAGAGUAAGCACCGGCUAACUCUGUGCCAGCAGCCGCGGUAAUUC
rnacentral:rRNA from 1 species